UCUCACGGAAGUUCGUCUGCAGUCUCUGCACUCUCUUGUCCACAGGCGGAUAGGCCCACGCCCCACAGCACUGAUGGUUCAAAUCAUCCCACCACUUCAAUCUGAUGCAACAGCAGCAAGUCUAAGAUUUUCAAGUACAGUGUUGCUGUUGAAGUUACCUCUGCUUGCAAUUAAUCCAAUGAUGUAGACCGUGUAGAACAAACACUCUGGAAUCUUUGGGUCACGACCGACAUUGACACGAAUGCUGGUUCCAUAUAAAACGCAUCUUAGCCGAACUGACGUUCCGGAAGAAAUUGGCUUCGGUGAUGUUCUCAUUGAGGAAAGUAGUACUGGACACUACUCGAACCCCUAUCAAAUGAACUGUUGUUGCAGUUCUAAUCAAGAUGAAAUUUGAAAACCCCUGUAUCCCAAGCUACAGUAUUUGAAGCAGGUGACUCCCACAAUACAGUUGACAAAGAAGUAUCAGAUCGAGUCCUUAUCAGUGUGGGCCUAGUUCUCCCCCCAGUCAAUCCGGCUGAAGAAAAUGCGUCGCAGCCGGAAACAUCUUGUAGUUAUUUCAUGUCAAUUGAUUUGGAAUUCGAUGAAGUACUGCCGAAUUUGGAUCGUGGACAGCAUCAUUCCUUUGGCUGAAAAAGAUCUCGGUUCUCUAGGAUGACCUGGCGCUACAGCUCACAUUCUUGUCCAGGAUCAACUCGCUUAUUCACUCCCACCAUUUGGGGACUUUAUUGCCGAAUUUUCCGAUAUCGUACCAAAUGAAGUUGUUGUUCACCGUUCCACAUCGGAAGCCACUACUCCAGUUCCAGUGAUCGUUUUCUACUCUUCGUCUUUCUAGGGAGAGCCUAGAGUAGCAUUUCCGAUACAAGCCUCAGACAGUAGGGACGGUCGACUUUUUCCUGGAGUUGGAGUUGUGGAAGUCUAACUGGCCAAGAAAAUUAACCAAUUUACACCACUCGUUCAGCACAAGAAAUUGCGCGGAAAGCAGUUAAGCCAUUCCUAUUCUGGUCAGCUCGCACAUGCCCAUCUGAAGUCAAAUCCUCUUCAAUUUGGCAGUCAUUAUCAACUUGAUUGUCACCGUCUUUUACCCGUUCGACACUGACGGACCGAUUCCUGAUCCUGGCACUCACCUCUUAGGUCUUGUCUGGGCAUCUCAUGCUCCUUUCGGCCGCUGUGGCCAUUACGUUACCUAAACCGUGGCGUACAUCAGAACUCUCGUCAUGACAGUAAUUCUCCGACUUAUUUGCUCCACUGGACCUCAACAACCAAAAUUGAUGCUCCUUGGCACCGCCACGGUAGUGUUGAAGGACGUAUAUAUGCUGAGCGUGAGGCAAAUUGCAUGGACACGGAGAUCCGCUACCACGUCGUUUACCUCAUCUGUUGUUUCCUUGGACUGCUCAACUUCAUCUGCUCAGUAGGCACCUGGUAGAGAAAUGUUGUACUACUUCAUGGAAUCCCAUUUCUCAUGUCUGUUUAAUUCACGCGUGGAUUUCUUGGAUGGUGAAUUGAUCAUUCGGGUAAGCUGCGGGAAUAAUCUAGUCUUCAUCCCCACUUGAUUCAUUUCGUGCCAGUUAUUAGUGAAACUUGAAAGGCGUGACGAAUUCAAAUUGAGGUGUUGCGUGCUGUCUGCAAGCAAGCAAUCCAAUUGGCUGUCGCUAGGUGGCUAAAAUUAUGUCCACCAGGUAGCGCCAUGUUGUUUCUAACAGACGCAGACGAAAUGAGUGUUGAUUGUUGAAUGUUUAUCGAUGUGACGUUUCCCAUGCUGAAAAUGAAACGGUGAAUUAGCAUGUAAGCAGUUAAUGACCAAAUCAUCUCGUAGCUCAAGUGACUGUACAUUUCGCCAAAUUGUCGUGCCUCGAGCGUCUUGCUGCCUGUAGAUUUCCAGAAUCUAUACUUCAGAGAAAUUAAAUUUAUGUUCAGAUGGUUCCAUUGCAGCCACCUCGUGAAAAGGGAGUUCAAGUUGAGCUGCAGCUGCUGCAAGCAGUCUGUAGUGCUGGUGUCAUUCUGAAGUGUUCUCAAUGUGUCAGUCUAGGCUGAAGCUAAUUAAAGUGUACUGUUCAAGUCUUAUUAUAGACAUCAAGCACAUUGAUAACCAAUUAUAAACAAGGGUCUAAACUAAAUGUUUCUAAAUUUGCAUGCCAGAUUUAUGAGAAGUCAUGUCGUUUGAAGAAAAAGGGCAAUGUCUACACAGGUAACAAGGUUCCUUGUUUGAAAACCCGUUGGCUGGUACCUGUGAAUCUCCAUUUUUACUUCUUUAAACUGGCCCUCUUAAUUGAGGGUAACUCCUUCGCUACUGAUCAUCCACUGGACCCUACUUCAUUCAUUGGUGAAAACUGAUGAGAGAAUCCUGUAAUUCAAGACUGAUAAAUUGUGUAGUUGUUAGAUACAUUACAAGUGCAUAUCUGGGCUCCCUUCUUCAGUGGCCCCGUUUCCCUAAAUAACCACUAACAAACGCCCGCCGGUGGUCACUCACUCGCUGCGACAACCAGGAGGAAGGGAGAUGUUUGGUCGAACGGGGACUUGCAAGGCGCAUGAUUCGAUGAAAUCUGUUGGAGGGUCAUGAGUCUAAGCCGGAAGCCUACUAUGACACACUGCUCUCAUAAUAACUGCUCCUCAGCUCUCUUCGUUCUUUUUCCGGUUUCUCUUAACCAUGGCCGGGUAAUCUCCCUGGUCGAGUCAGUCGGGCAGUGUCUCCCCCUGCUUGACUGGCAGCAAUUUAUUCCGUACCGUCUUUUUAAUAAAUAAAACUUGACAAAAUUUUACAAUACACCAUU
rnacentral:lncRNA from 1 species